UGGGGUCUGUCGGGGUGGGACCCCCAAGCAGCCUUCAUCCUCCCUGGGUGCUGGGAUGGGGCUGCACCCCAGGCUGGGGAGGUGCAGGGCUGGCAGCGUUCCUUGUGCGGGGGCUGUACCAAUGCUAAACAGAGCUGCUGGGGCAGGCAGAGGGUCCUGGCUGGGAAUAGUGACCCCAAACUGGUGGUGAGGCUGGACCAGAUGCUACUUAAGAUCCUAGAAGUAGGGGGAAACGGUCACCCCCAAAACCUCACCCCUUGGCUGGGUAGUGAGGAGGGAAUGGGAAUGAUGGAGCUGAACGAGCCAAGCCCUCCAGGGGCUCUUCCCAAGCAUGGACUAGUCUCAUCCUGCAUAAGUCGCUCCCCAGGUGUGGGGUUCAUCCAUCCAAGUGCUGCAGGGACACGGACCAGCUACAGCCUCAGAUCUGCAGCAAGGGGAUGCUCUCAGAUCCCAUCUGCACCUCUUGCCAUCCUUCCUCCCUCCUCUGCUGCGACUCGGAGAGAAAAAUAAACUGAGGAUGGCGGGCUCAUGUAAACACCAUGCUAUUUAUGGGAGGCAAUCACUGGAGCAUCUCCCAGCGCGUCUCCUCACACAUCCUCAAGCACAGGGAGGAAGCCGUGACCCAGCUGUAUGGCCAGAGGUAACACACGGUCCUCAGGGCAGGGGACCACAGUGGAAAGAGCAUCCCUAGGGAGUCCCAAACCCCCCUUGCCCACCAGCUUCCAGGGGGGAACGUCCUUGCAAUCAACCUCUGGCUGGGAGCAGCGCAGGAAAACUGUCAGGUUCCUCACGGGAGUGCAAUGCGGAAGCAAAGGCAGGCAGGUCCUGGCCUAAUUGUAUGCAAAUCUCCCAAACACAGAUUAAAAACCACUCCUUUUCCUUAGUGCGUUCGCAGUUUGUUCUCCCUGCCUGGACUCAUGCCCCAGCGCACUUAAUUUUAGCAGCACCCCUAAAAAAGCCCCAUUUAAAGCCAAAACUGAGCUGCUCGGCUGGGAGUUGGCCAAAGCAGGUAGGAGCUCUCCUACUGGGCCAAGGAAACGGUCCCAGGGCUUUGGCAAAGGCUGCAGAGAUGGAAUGAGCAAAUGCUGCUGAUGGUUGUGGAGAGCCUGUUCCUGAUGGAGAAGGCAUCAUCUCCUUGCCCUCUGGGACACCAGGCUCAUGUCGGGGUCUUGCUGGGGUUUGGAAUGAGAAAACACCUUGAGACCUG